rnacentral:rRNA from 1 species
UAAUAGCGUAUAUUUAAGUUGUUGCAGUUAAAAAGCUCGUAGUCGGAUUUUGGCUGAGAACGAUCGGUCCGCCGUUAGGUGUGCACUGAUUGGUCUCAGCUUCCUGGUGAGGAGGUGUGCUUCACGGCCACUUAGUCACCGUGGUUACUUUGAAAAAAUUAGAGUGUUCAAAGCGGGCUUACGCUUGAAUAUAUUAGCAUGGAAUAACACCAUAGGACUCCUGUCCUAUUUCGUUGGUCUCGGGACGGGAGUAAUGAUUAAGAGGAACAGUUGGGGGCAUUCGUAUUUCAUUGUCAGAGGUGAAAUUCUUGGAUUUAUGAAAGACGAACUUCUGCGAAAGCAUUUGCCAAGGAUGUUUUCAUUGA